GGAGGCAAAUCCCAAAAAUAAACGUCCCAGUUCGGACUGUAGUCUGCAACCCGACUACACGAAGCUGGAAUCGCUAGUAAUCGCGAAUCAGAAUGUCGCGGUGAAUACGUUCCCGGGUCUUGUACACACCGCCCGUCACACCAUGAGAGUUGGGGAUACCCGAAGCCUGUGAGCUAACUAUUUAUAGGAGCAGCAGUCGAAGGUAGAAUCAAUGAUUGGGGUGAAGUCGUAACAAGGUAGC
rnacentral:rRNA from 1 species